rnacentral:rRNA from 1 species
UGGGGAAUAUUGGACAAUGGGGGCAACCCUGAUCCAGCCAUGCCGCGUGUGUGAAGAAGGCCCUAGGGUUGUAAAGCACUUUCAGUAGUGAGGAAGGCUUCUGGUUAAUACCUGGGAGUACUUGACGUUAGCUACAGAAGAAGCACCGGCUAAUUUCGUGCCAGCAGCCGCGGUAAUACGAAAGGUGCGAGCGUUAAUCGGAAUUACUGGGCGUAAAGCGCGCGUAGGCGGUUUGUUAAGUCGGAUGUGAAAUCCCCGGGCUCAACCUGGGAACUGCAUCCGAUACUGGCAGGCUAGAAUGCGGUAGAGGGAGGUAGAAUUUCCGGUGUAGCGGUGAAAUGCGUAGAGAU